rnacentral:rRNA from 1 species
AACGAACGCUGGCGGCAGGCUUAACACAUGCAAGUCGAGCGCAUCCUUCGGGGUGAGCGGCAGACGGGUGAGUAACGCGUGGGAACGUACCCUUUCCUACGGAAUAGCUCCGGGAAACUGGAAUUAAUACCGUAUACGCCCUUAGGGGGAAAGAUUUAUCGGGGAAGGAUCGGCCCGCGUUGGAUUAGCUAGUUGGUGGGGUAAAGGCCUACAAAGGCGACGAUCCAUAGCUGGUCUGAGAGGAUGAUCAGCCACAUCGGGACUGAGACACGGCCCAAACUCCUACGGGAGGCAGCAGUGGGGAAUAUUGGACAAUGGGCGCAAGCCUGAUCCAGCCAUGCCGCGUGAGCGAUGAAGGCCUUAGGGUUGUAAAGCUCUUUCAGUAGGGAAGAUAAUGACGGUACCUACAGAAGAAGCCCCGGCUAACUUCGUGCCAGCAGCCGCCGUAA